UNUGACUUGAGUGCAGAAGGGGAGAGUGGAAUUCCAUGUGUAGCGGUGAAAUGCGUAGAUAUAUGGAGGAACACCAGUGGCGAAAGCGGCUCUCUGGUCUGUCACUGACGCUGAGGCUCGAGAGCGUGGGUAGCGAACAGGAUUAGAUACCCUGGUAGUNCACGCCGUAGACGAUGAGUGCUAGGUGUUAGGCCCUUUCCGGGGCUUAGUGCCGGAGCUAACGCAAUAAGCACUCCGCCUGGGGAGUACGACCGCAAGGUUGAAACUCAAAGGAAUUGACGGGGGCCCGCACAAGCGGUGGAGCAUGUGGUUUAAUUCGAAGCAACGCGAAGAACCUUACCAGGUCUUGACAUCCCGAUGCUAUUCUUAGAGAUAGGAAGUUACUUCGGUACAUCGGAGACAGGUGGUGCAUGGUUGUCGUCAGCUCGUGUCGUGAGAUGUUGGGUUAAGUCCCGCAACGAGCGCAACCCUUAUUGUUGGUUGCCAUCAUUAAGUUGGGCACUCUAGCGAGACUGCCGGUAAUAAACCGGAGGAAGGUGGGGAUGACGUCAAAUCAUCAUGCCCCUUAUGACCUGGGCUACACACGUGCUACAAUGGUCGGUACAACGAGUUGCGAGCCGGUGACGGCAAGCUAAUCUCUGAAAGCCGAUCUCAGUUCGGAUUGGAGGCUGCAACUCGCCUCCAUGAAGUC
rnacentral:rRNA from 1 species